rnacentral:rRNA from 1 species
GAUGAACGCUGGCGGCGUGCCUAAUACAUGCAAGUCGAGCGAACAGAUGAGGAGCUUGCUCCUCUGACGUUAGCGGCGGACGGGUGAGUAACACGUGGAUAACCUACCUAUAAGACUGGGAUAACUUCGGGAAACCGGAGCUAAUACCGGAUAAUAUAUUGAACCGCAUGGUUCAAUAGUGAAAGACGGUUUUGCUGUCACUUAUAGAUGGAUCCGCGCCGCAUUAGCUAGUUGGUAAGGUAACGGCUUACCAAGGCAACGAUGCGUAGCCGACCUGAGAGGGUGAUCGGCCACACUGGAACUGAGACACGGUCCCGACUCCUACGGGAGGCAGCAGUAGGGAAUCUUCCGCAAUGGGCGAAAGCCUGACGGAGCAACGCCGCGUGAGUGAUGAAGGUCUUCGGAUCGUAAAACUCUGUUAUUAGGGAAGAACAAAUGUGUAAGUAACUAUGCACGUCUUGACGGUACCUAAUCAGAAAGCCACGGCUAACUACGUG